rnacentral:tRNA from 1 species
GCCCCCGUAGCUCAGUAGGAUAGAGCAACGGAUUCCUAAUCCGUGUGUCGCGUGUUCGAAUCACGCCGGGGGUACCA